rnacentral:RNase_P_RNA from 1 species
CAAGUUGAUUGGAUAGUCGCGCUCAUUGAAAUUUCAGUGGGUGAGGAAAGUCCGAACACCCCCGCCUAAAUUUUCGCGAGAAAACUUGGGCGGGAAGUAGGCAGUCGCUAACGGCGACCGGGAGCAGUUCUCUCCAAUGCAAGCGCGGAUCACGAACUACUGCGAAUAGCGCAUUCGUGACUGUUCGCGGUAUGCGCCGCAUUGCUUUGGUGGGAUGAAGCCCAGGGAAAGUGCCACAGAGACCUAUACCGCCUUGCCCGAUGCUUUGCAUCGGGCGGGGUAAGGGUGAAAAGAGUGGGCCCGCCUUCGCGCGGGAUAGCCUGCCCAAAGUUCUGCGAGAGCAGAGCUUCGGCGGGUAAAGUAAAAGCCCACAGUUCUGGUGGGUGACCGCCAGAAGAGGAAAACCCUGCCUGGUGCAAGGCCAGCGUUUCCGCCAGCUGGCGGAUUCGAAAAGUUAGGCCGCUAGAGGUCGCGAGCAAUUGCGAUCCCAGAUAAAUGGCUAUCGGGGCAUGCGGCCUGUAAACCCCCUCAAUAGGCGCAAGCACAUUGAGGCGGGGAGGAAGGGCCGCACGCCUUACAGAAUUCGGCUUACAGACCCACUUGGCGC